ensembl:lncRNA
AAAAACUGGAUGGAAAAACACAGAGAAAUUGUUAGCAGAUCUCAGAGAGCUGGAUGCCAUGACCACGUAGGUCGUCUUGUUUAAAUCAAGAGUGUCCAUAAAGAGAAUGCGUGCUCUCAGAUGAAGAAGGAUUAGCUCAUCUCACCCACAAAUUUGAAGUGCAAUGAGCUUGAGACAACAUGCAAGAGUGAUAUUAUCCUUUGACGUGCUAAUAACCAGAGCUUUCCUUGAGUCUGCUGCCCAUUGAAGCUCCCUCUCAUGGCAUCCCAAGGAGAACAACUUGCCCAUUUGCAGUUGUGCGACUGGACGUGGCUUCAGCACCACUGCAUCAAUCUAUGGUGGAAAGAUUGCAUGUGCUCUAUGUUUUAAGCAUCUUUGGGACACGUUUUCCAUCGUUGCAGAGGUACCUGUAUCUCCAGCUCUUCCGUUUUCUACGUAGCAGGCAUCUUUGAGUAAAAUCCUGACCUGAGCUCCUCUGAGCACUGCCUGAUGGCUGACAGCAGAAGGAACUGAGAAACAGUGAAGCACUGGGGAACCUGAUAAUAGAGAUGACACUGUGUGGAUAAAUGAAAGCUCACUAGAAUAAAAGAAGAACUAGAUUUAACAGAUCAAAGACUGCUAGGCUUGAUCUUUGCUUGGCUCCAUGUUGACUCUAUGAAAGACACAGGUAUCAGGAAGGCUCACUAGAACUGUUGCUUCGGAACACAAAGGCCCCUCACCUGUUGUCUCUCAUCCUCUGCCAGCUGAUGCCAGACACUUCCAAAGAAGCUUUCAGGCUGUAUCAUUGGCACUUGUUAAAUUUUCAGCAUCUGGGAGAGGAAGGCUUCUCAGACAUAUGGAAACCAAGAAAAAGGGCCAUGAAUUUUUACUCAGACUAGAUUAAAAACGAUCUUUUUUACUCAGAGGAUUGAGUAGCAUG